GGCAGUGUUGAAGAUACCGAGAGGGAGAGAGAUUGAUCAAAUAUGGCAACAUUUGCAGGGACAACCCAGAAGUGUAAGGCAUGUGAGAAGACUGUGUACUUGGUGGAUCAGCUUACUGCUGACAACAAAGUCUAUCACAAGGCUUGUUUCAGGUGCCACCACUGUAAGGGUACCCUUAAGCUGAGUAAUUACUCAUCCUUUGAAGGUGUUUUGUAUUGCAAGCCUCACUUUGAUCAACUAUUUAAGAUGACUGGAAGCUUGGAUAAAAGCUUUGAAGGCACUCCAAAAACCGUUAGAGUUGACAGAUCUGUCGAUCAGGUCCAUAGCAACAGCAAAGUUUCAAGCAUGUUUGCUGGAACGCAGGACAAAUGUGUUACUUGCAAGAAAACCGUUUAUCCACUUGAAAAGGUGGCAGUUGAUGGUUCAUCUUAUCACAAGGCCUGUUUCAGGUGCACCCAUGGAGGCUGUGUAAUCAGCCCAUCAAACUAUGAUGCCUACAAUAGAGACGAUGCUCGUAUCACAACCAACUCUUUAAGGAGAAGGGAAAUUUCAGCCAACUUGACAGGCAAGACCAGGUUAAACCAGUGACUGAGAAUGCAGCAGCAGAGUGAGAAUGUAAAUUUUUCACAAAUCUUGAAAUGUGUGAUACCUCAAGGAGUUUGAUGCAAUUGUCAAAGCAUGCUAGAACGUUUAUCGCUAUAGUAUGUUUUAUGAGGAAAUUGAUAUUCAGUUGCGGAGUUCCAGCUUGUUGGUAACUUUUUUUGAGUGUGAGCUUUGAAUGUUUAAUAAUUAGAGUUUUUGGUGUCACAGACCUUUCAAUAGACCAUGAACUUAAAGCGCAAAGGUUCUAUCUUUU
rnacentral:misc_RNA from 1 species